rnacentral:rRNA from 2 species
AAAAGGAAUUGASGGGGACCCGCACAAGCGGGGGAGCAUGUGGUUUAAUUCRAARCAMCGCGAAAAACCUUACCAAAUCGUGACAUCCUUUGACCCSUCUAAAAAUAGAGSUUUUCCCUUCGGGGGACAGAGUGACAGGUGGUGCAUGGUUGUCGUCAGCUCGUGUCGUGAGAUGUUGGGUUAAGUCCCGCAACGAGCGCAACCCUURAGCUUAGUUGCCAUCAUUAAGUUGGGCACUCUAAGGWGACUGCCGGUGACAAACCGGAGGAAGGGGGGGAUGACGUCAAAUCAUCAUGCCCCUUAUGAGUUGGGCUACACACGUGCUACAAUGGACGGUACAAAGGGCAGCRAAGCCGCGAGGUCAAWCAAAUUCUACAAARCCGUUCUCAGUUCGGAUUGCAGUCUGCAACUCGMSUGCAUGAAGUSGGAAUCGCUAGUAAUCGUAGAUCAGCAUGCYMCGGUGAAUACGUUCCCGGGUCUUGUACACACCGCCCGUCACACCACGAGAGUUUGU